ACCCCAGUCCCAAAUAGGACGAAACGCGCGUCCUGGAU
rnacentral:hammerhead_ribozyme from 1 species